AUGGUUGGAUGAGAAAUUUACUUUCUUUAUUUUAAAUAUAUAAUUUGAUUUUUAAGUUAAAAAGCUUGAGUAUAUUUAUAGGACGAGAAGACCCUAUAGAACUUUAUCUGUUUCAUUUUGGUUUUUGUUUGUAAAUAAGUUUUUACUAAUUUAAGACGGAUUUUAUUGGGGUGAUAAAAAAAAUUUUAUAACUUUUUUUAUUUUUUUCAUUUAUUUGUGGGUUUUUGAUCCUUUAUUAUGGAUAAUAAGAUUAAGUUACCUUAGGGAUAACAGCGUUAUUAUUUUAGAGAGUUCAUAUCGAUAAAAUAGUUUGCGACCUCGAUGUUGGAUUAAAAUUAGUGUCAGGUGUAGAAUAUUGAU
rnacentral:rRNA from 1 species